rnacentral:misc_RNA from 1 species
CACCCCUCAAGCGUAGCUUGGUAUUGGGCUCUCGCCCCCGCGGCAUGCCCGAAAAGCAGUGGCGGUCCGGUGCGACUUUAAGCGUAGUAAAUUUCUCCCGUUUUGAAAGUU